rnacentral:lncRNA from 1 species
CAGAAGGGGGAAGCAAAAGGGGGACUGGAAGAAGUUAAGUACUUAAAGCAAUCCUCGAUGAUGGCUGGAAUCGAGAGUUCGAAGUCUGAAGAAGCCGAGCUUUCUUAGAGCUUGUUUGCCUUUUAUUCUAUGUAUUCCUUUCCUUUCUUGUUGCUUCUUUUUUUGUUUUCGUCUUCAAAGGCUUUGUAAUGCGCACUUUACUAAUGAAAUGAAAAGAAAAUUUUCCAUCA